UACGGGGGGGGCAAGCGUUGUUCGGAAUUACUGGGCGUAAAGGGCUCGUAGGUGGCCAACUAAGUCAGACGUGAAAUCCCUCGGCUUAACCGAGGAACUGCCUCCCAAACUGCUUGGCUUGAGACCGGGAGAGGUGAGUGGAAUUCCCAGUGUAGCGGUGAAAUGCGUAGAUAUUGGGAGGAACACCAGUGGCGAAGGCGGCUCACUGGACCGGUACUGACGCUGAUGCGCGAAAGCGUGGGGAGCAAACGGG
rnacentral:rRNA from 1 species